GCUUGCUACACAAGCAUGAGAGCUGGGAUGCAGAGAAGAUUAGUAUGGCCCCUGCACAAGGAUGACAUGCAAAUUCAUGAAGCAUUCCAUAAUUUU
rnacentral:snRNA from 1 species